rfam:Camelus ferus unplaced genomic scaffold scaffold319, whole genome shotgun sequence.
AAGGGUAUAGCUAAAAGUGUCAGGGCGCAUGCUUAGUAUGCAGGAGGUCCUGGGUUCAAUCCCCAGUACCUCCU